CUGCCUUCAGAGGACUGCUUGGAUGAUCAGGUCAUUGGUUGACCUGGAGAGGAGCGCUCUGGCUUUGUGAGAGUUCGCCUUCUCCAUCCCCUCACCUCUUUAGUCUUUAGCUUGUUUUGCAUUUGCUUUUAUUUUUCCAAAGACUGGGAUGUGAAAUGCUGGGGGUAAAACAGUGCAUCGGGUGUAGAGCAAAAUGUGCUGUGCUCAUGGCACAGGUCGGGAGGAGGCUGUGGGGUGCGGGAUGCUCCUCCCCAGGGGAUGCUCAGGAGAGAGGCGUAAAUGAGGAUCCCUUUUUUCCCCAGUCUUGGGAGGGGUGGGCAGAGCUGGACAGGAUGUGUGACUGGAACAGUUUGCUACAGGUUCAGUAACAAAAUACGACCAGAGACAGAAAGGAAGCAGACAAGGAAUUACAACUUGGAACACGUCUGUAUGAAAGAUUAAUCUGGAUUAUCUGUUCAGUUUGAUUUACUCAAUUUCACUCCCAAAGUAAAUUAUCCUAUAUCAUGUUAAAACCACUUAUAUCUUAAUGAAAACAUCCGCAUCGUGUUUUAAUGCAAUUGAAGUAAUCUGCUUUUAAUUCACACCAUAAGCAAUUGGAAUUAAUUUCCCUCUGUGCUCCUGUGUAGACAAACCCUGAAAGGCACCACCACAUCCUUCUGGCACAGCGCCUCUGUGCGAUGCCACUCAUACAGUUUGCCUUGUGCAGGGUGCUGUGUGAGGCCAGAUCUAACCCGUAAUGUUUUUACAUCUUCAUUCACUAAUACACAAACACUGCAGUCAUUCAUCUAACACGGAUGUAUUUAGCACUGCUAACAGCCUCUGCCCAUGAAAUUCCUCAGAACAAGAAGCUUACACAAGGCAUGGAUAAGUUGCAUUUUACUGACGUGAACUGCUUGCACUCUAAGCUUGCUGUGGUCAUCCCUCCAGAAGCCAAGUGAAGGAGAAACACAACAUUCUGAAAGCACACUGGUGCAAUGUAAUGCUGUUGUUUUGCUGUACACAGCAACAACCUGGCUGAAACAGAUUGCAUCUGCUGCUGGUUUGCUUGUAACUCGAAUGAGUGAAGCUGGUAGCCCUCUCUUGUCCUUUAUUCUCUCCUGUGUAAGAUCUGUAGUACUUUCAUUCAGGCAGGUGAGGUAUCCAAGCAAGAAGCAUGGUGUGUGUGUGCUGGUCUGCUGAUGCUGGUGUUGAAUGCUUGGGAAUGUACCUGCCUGUUCAAAAAGGUCUGUAUCCCACAGGAAAAGCACUGUCCAGAGACACAGACUUGUGCCUUCAAUGACUGCCCUUUGUUCUGUGUCGGAUUUGAAUUUCUCAGGUGGUACAGAAAAAUCAGAAAGAUCACAUUGCUUUCAAAGUUCUGCUUUUAUUUUUUUCCUUGGGUGAAUUCAUAGAUCAUCUUUUACAGCCAUGUAUGUGUCUGUGUGUAUAUAUGUGCGUGUACAUAUAUAUAUAUAUGUACAUAUACAUAUAUAUAUAUAUAAGUCAACCAGACUUGGAGAGCAUUUAGCAAUAAGUUGAAUUUCAGUAGCUUCUAGCACAUGUGUGAAUAGCUCAUUGGCCACAGCAUCCUCCAGCUUGUUGUACCACACAAAGGUGUUCUCUUUGCAUAGGAGCCUUCACGUCUUACCUCUGCCAGUUCUGUUGUAUGGGCGAAAAGGGCACCCGCUCCAUUUGGAUGUAAAUAACAAGAACUGAACUGAGAAUUUACAGAGUUUUUAUAAAUGUUUUUAAAAUAAUUCAGCACUGGGACUGUAAAUAUGUCGAGUGUUGCUACUCAGCUGGACCCAUUCUGAUGGAUGUUCCUUCUCCAGAUAACCAGACAAGGGGACUGCCUUAUAGCCUGCGUUAUCUCCCCGCCAGGGGCUGAUAACAUAUUUGGGAAUGAUCAAACACUGUCUCUUACCCAACUUCCUUUGGGUCAUUCACAUCAGGGUUUUGUGAUGCUGCUAUUAAUUUAUUAAAGAAAGAUUGUUG
rnacentral:lncRNA from 1 species